GUGCCAGCCGCCGCGGUAAUACAGAGGGUGCGAGCGUUGUUCGGAAUUAUUGGGCGUAAAGCGCAUGUAGGCGGGAUGUUAAGUCGCGUGUGAAAGCCCCAGGCUCAACCUGGGAAGUGCGCGCGAAACUGGCAACCUUGAGUGCUGGAGAGGGUGGCGGAAUUCCCGGUGUAGAGGUGAAAUUCGUAGAUAUCGGGAGGAACACCAGAGGCGAAGGCGGCCACCUGGACAGACACUGACGCUGAGACGCGAAAGCGUGGGGAGCAAACAGGAUUAGAAACCCCGGUAGUCC
rnacentral:rRNA from 1 species